UUGAAGAGCAAAACACCUGCAACGCUGGAAAUCAGACAUAAAAGCAGAAAGUGUAGGAUCUACGUAGAAAAACAAGCAGCAUCUGUGGAGAGAGAAAAAGUUGAAGUUUUAAUGUUCCACGUGCAUUUUCUUCCUGCUGGUUUUAGAUUUCCAGCAGCUGCAAUGUUUUCCUCAUAAACUUGAUGGUAAUGUUGAUGAGAGGAUCAACCAAGAAGAUGGCCCGUCAGCAUCUCUACUUUCUUAUAUGUCUAUGGGGAUUCAGCCUGACAUCAAAAACUGUCUAACUUCUACAGAUGUGUAAUGAAAAGCACUCUGUUGGGUUUUGGAGCUCCAAUGUACAGGAGCUCAAUAGGCAGCAAAGAGUGGUGGACGCAGCAAGUUCCAUCACAUUUCUCCCCAUCAUCGGGAACAUCUACUCUACAGGAGAUGCUGUCCCAGGAAGGUGGCCCCAUUAUUAAAAACCCCACCAUCUGAGCCAAGCCCUUUCCUGAUGCUGUCGUUAGAAAGAAGAGACAGGAGGCUGAAAACUCGCACCUUACUGUUCAAAAACAGCUUCUUCCCCAUUGCCAUUAGGUUCUUGAACCAACGUUUAAAAAAAAAAUAAAUCCUACCUCAGACUAUAUUUCUGUCAGCUUGCACUAAUGACAUUAUGCUAAAUUUUCAUUAUUUUCUUAUAUAUACUUUAAUGUUAGUUUAAGUGUAUGCAAUAUAUGCUUGUUUUGUAUGUAAUGCACAAUGUUAUUGCUCCAAAAAGCUAUAUUUUGUGACAUUUUUGAAGACUUUUCUUUUCAUGAUGAGGGCCAAUUGUCACAUGUAUUUGAUUAUUGUUUGUCUAUGCCUAGGUACAGUGACAGAGAAUCAGGAUGUCCAAAACUCAGUGGCUGGUUUCAAUGGGCUUGAAGUAUAAGUGAAUGCUACAUUGCCUAAUAAAGUAAUGUUGCAGGAAUGUCAAUAGAAACCUUUGCUGGUCAAUUUCCAAAGCAAGUGAACUCCUGUGGUGACAUGGUAGCCUGUGAUCUUAGGAGACAAUGGUAUUUGAUUACAGUGGGGAGGUUGUGUGAAAACCUGGUUGCUGUUAGAAUUUAGUAAUAAAAUUUAUGAGAAUAUUUGAUAUAUAUGGAGUGUCCAUGCAUCAGGUGUUCAUAAACCAGGGAGGUGGUGUAGAUCCAUACCUUGUGCAUUAAUUUAGGCUUAAACAUAAAAUUGCAGUUCAUAUCAGAAUUGUGCACUAUUAAGUGCACUGUUCCUCAUUUAAGAUUCUUCUUCAGGGAAAUAAAGCUAAUGUCUCGCAGGAUGAUGACCUAUCUUAUUAUAAGCACUUAUUUCCUACUCAAAAUAAACUCCUCAAC